UGGUCGUCUUAUGGUCCCUUGGAGAUAGUAUAAGCCAUUGUUGUAUUUUCUAGUCAGAACCUUUAUACCACCUUUGUAGAAGUGGACCAUGUACCCUUUUCCAGUGUAGCUGCAACCGGAUUGUUCUAGCUGACCAUAGGAUAUCAAGUUUCUUCCCAUCUCAGGCAUGUAACGAACAUUGCUCAGAGUAACUGAUGACCCAUCCUCAUUGUCGAUGGUGAUCUUCCCCAUUCCUUUUACUAU
rnacentral:lncRNA from 1 species